rnacentral:lncRNA from 1 species
ACACCUGGAUGUGCUCACUCAACCAAGAAUAUAGAGAAAGAGCUUCUGCCCUGAGACUCAGAAAAAUAUUCUCCUGUGCUUUGGUUCAGUAUAGAUUUCUAAACCCUGAUCAUUGCUUAAGAGAUAUUCACUGAGGACAGAGUCUUGCUCUAUUGCCCAGGCUGCAACUGGUGUGAUCUCGGCUCACUACAACCUCUGCCUCCUGGGUUCAAGCGAUUCUCCUGCCUCAAGCUCCCAAGUAGCUGGGAUUACAAGCAUGCACCACCAUGCCUGGCUAAUUUUUGUAUUUUUAGUGGAGACGGGGUUUCGCCACAUUGGCCAGGGUGGUCUUGAACUCCUGACCUCAAGUGAUCCACCUGCCUUGGCCUCCCAAAGUGCUGGGAUUAUAAGCAUGAGCCACUGCACCCAGCCUUAUACUGAACUUUCAAUGGGUUCAAUUCCACUAGGAGCAUAAAGGCCACUGCAUAUGAGUUGUGGAAAGAAGAGAUUAGAAGAAGGAAGAACUUGAGAUGAGUUCCUCCCUUCAACAUUCUGUCUCCUCCUACCUAGCAUCUUCUUUCUUUUAGUCUUUCUAGAAUGUCCAUCUGUUUUUGGCCAUUGCGGAGAGAGAAGCUGAGCUUUAAAGGAGUAGGAGCUUCAAAGGCGUAGGAGCUUCAAAAUUCUUGUUUCUUCAUGUUUGAUCACCCUUCUAAACCUGUCUUCUGUUCCUUCUGCUAUUCUUUUUUCUUAGAGCAUAGGAAAGGGGAGCUUUUAAAUUAAUACUUAAAGCAUGGAAAAAAAGAACUUGAGAAGAAAGUAAAACAAGGGAGAUGAGGCUAGUAAAGUAAGGAAAAUGAAGAGGAAGAGGAGGAAGGGUUAGCUUCUAAAUUCCAAGUCAAAUUGAUAUGGAACAGGCAAGCCGCUUGUCUUACUUAAACUUCAGAAAAGGAUCUGCUGAAACUUGAUAGAAAUGGAAAGGGAAAUCCUUGGGGUGGGGAACCUCCAAACAUUAGUAAUGAUAUUGAACAACUCAAAGUAUUGAGGAAAUCUGCAGGCUACAUGCCUGAAGAUUACCCAUGCAGAUAGACCAAAAGGAUUAGAAUUAUCUGUUGAUAUUAGUAAUAUUUAUUGACAUCUAGCUAGUAUUGGUAAUUUUAAGUUUUAGAUUAAUUUCUUUGGUAAUAGCUAUGAUAUAUUUUAUAGACAAGAAUUAUAUCUAUAGGCUUGCUAUCAUAGGCUCUUUUAAUCAGCAUUAAUUUAGUCUACUGAUUUUUAGCACAUUUGAAUCAUUCACUUAUGCUAGGUAACUCAUUGCAAAAUAAAAAGAUGAUUCCUGUAUGUAUGGCAGCUAUACAUUAAGGAGGAGUCUACCAGAAUAUGAAAAAGUCAGCUGACCUAAAUAUUGCUGAGACAAAGGAAAACCCACUCCCUUGGAGGAGCAUGACCUUUUCCUGUAAUUCUUCCCACUGCUGUUGUUGAGCUCCUUGGAUCCUGGCUCCUGGACACCAUCAUCAAGAAGACUUUAUGGAUGGGCUGUCCACCCACUGAGAGAAGAGGAGCAUCAGCUACAGUUUCUCUCUAGAUUGCCUUCUUCAUUUUGAGUAAUGACUGUCAGCAGGGUCAGAUUAAACACAAAACAACUGGACAAUUGCUUGGAGGACUAAACUAUAAGGGCACUAACAUGUCAAUAGUAGGCUAACACAUCCAUGGAAAAUAUAUUUACCAGCUCUUCUCUCAGGGAGGAUUCUGUGUGGGGUUGGAAGUAAUGAUUUGUUAAAUUCCUUAGGGGUAGAAAGUAGGGCAUAAUCAGAAUAUAGAGGAAUAUGCUGUUUGACUUCAGGGUUUCUGUUUUUCUUACUAGGAUAUAUAAAACAGGGACUCUAGCUAGAUUGUUUAUGACCACAGAGGGUAGGCUGAGUGCUCCCAUGAUCUUCCUGCUUGGUUCUUGCCCAUACAGAGGUCAGCCUUUCCUCUAAUAAAGAUUGAACAAGUAGUGGUCUGAGGGAGACACCAAUUCAUUACCCUACAUGUCUCUUCUCUGCACUCCAGGGCUUUGAUAAUAAAGACACUGGCAGACUAUCUAUCUUCCAUUUCUAUAAUGUGAGCCCUUAGGGAGUCUUCGUUCACUUGGGGGUGAGGGUCAUUGCUCACAGAGUAGUUCAAGUCAAAUGGAACUUGAACUCUUUGCCUAUGGGCCUGGUGGUCAGACUCUGUGUUGAGUUCAUUAGAUUAUUGGAGACACAAGGUAGAGCUGGAUGCUUCAAAAAUAUUUGGCUAAAGGAUGACAUUGCUGGUUAUUUGUAGAUAAAGCCAUGAUGGAACCUGCUUGGAAUCAUGAAAUAUGGAACUGGUGGUCAUGUUUAAAAAUACAACUAAUAGUUAAGUACCUACUGGACACUGUAGAGACUUAGGGGCUAGACAGACAUGGUUCCUGCCCCCUUGGAGCUUACACUGUAGCUUCCCCUUAGGUAUGAAGAACAGUGGCUACAACUAACAAAUGGCCACAAAGAUAUAAUUGAGCCAGUGUUCCAAUUAUUAGGGUAAUUCCUAUUUCCUUAAUCAUUCCUAUUGACCAUGUUCUAUAAGCCUGCAUUCUAUAAAUGGCGUAUGACCAUGGGCUGUUUCCCCCCAGCAAGUUGUACAAAGUUCUGUGGUACCAGGGAAAGGGCUUAAGGUUAGCAGGGCCUCUGCGGAAGGACAUAUGAAGUGACUUGGGUUAGGAAACAGGAAGGGAUAGGAUUCAAGAACAGCUAUUGCUUCUGUUCUAUAUAGGAAACUGCAGCGUGAAAAAUGCUGGGCUGGGAAUUUUGAGACCUGGGUUUUAGUUUGUGUUCUAAUACUAACAAGCUAUGUGACUGUGGGUAAGUCAUUUCACAUUCCAUUUGGAUGCCUCUUGAGUGACUCCAGGCCUCUCCAGCUCUAAAACAUUAAGAUCAGGCCCUACGCUACAGCUGGCCAGUGUGUAAUUCUUCUGUUUCUAUGCUGUUAGGUCAAAUAGAUCUUCAAUAGUUACUUGAUUGUUAUUACUUUUUUCUGAAGUGGGUGUUUUAUCAAUGUUUUAGGAUACAGUGAGUCUGCUUCUCCCCUUUGGAGUUAGGAAGGUUGUAGGAAUAUACACUGUAGAGCAUAUGGGAGCUUUAUCCCCUCCUUUUUUCCCCGCUACCUUUCUCCCUCUCCUUCCCUUCAUCACAUUUCUAUUGAGCAUAUGCCAUUGCCGUGUACCAGGUGUGUGCUAGGUUUGGAGAUACAAGGUAAACCUGAGACUUUCCCAGUCUCCAGGAGACAAAACCCUAAUUUCUUUCAUCUGCUGUCUUUCUCUUUGGAAAGAAUCAACGAUAUCCCAGGGGAAUGUGCCCAUGUCCCAGGGUAACCAACUACAGACAGAUGCCCCAUUCUACUCAAGCAACUUUUAGAGUGCCUUGAGAUACACAUCAGAUAAUUAUGCAGGGCCAGGCAUGGUGCUGCACACUUGUAAUCACAGCACUUUGGGAGGCCGAGGCAGCAGAUUGCUUGAGCCCAGGAAUUCAAGUGUAGCCUAGGGAACAUGGCAAAACCCCAGCUCUACAAAAAAAUACACAAAUUAGCUGCGUGUGGUGGCCUAUGACAGGAGGCUGAGAUGGGAGGAUUGCUUGAGCCUGUGAGGUCGAGGCUGCAGUGAGCCGAGAUCAUGCCAUUACUCCAGCCUGGGUGACAUAGGGAGACCCUGUCUUGAAAAAAAAAAAAAAAAGAUAAUUAUUCAGCCCUAGAGUCAUUGUGAAAAGAUCUAUCUUCAGAUAUAAGGAAGAAACAAUCUUUUAUUUCUUAGGAUAAAUCUGUAGAAGGACCUCCAGACAGUGAAGGCCACUGACUACUUUAUACUCUGUAAGCCAUCCCUCCCUGGUAGGAAGGACUAUUUCCAAUCUUACAGAGUACCUCUCAGCAAAUAGACGUUUUCACAUAUACUGUGAUUCAUACAUCCCUAUGGCUGGUGACCUCUUUAAAAAGGAAAGGAAAAAGCCUAAUCAAACAAAAAGAUGCUGCUAGUAAUUCUUACCCUAUUGUGAAUCCUAUAUAAGCAAAUUUGUAUCUUUGUUUUUUCCUACAUUAGCAGAUCUAUUUGAUGUAUAUCUCUGAGUGCAGAAAAUAUUUUAUGGAAAAAUCAAUAUAUGGAAUUUCAAAUUCAGAAUUGCUGAUACACACUAUUUGGUUUCACAAUUUUAUCCUAGGAAAUAGUAUUAGAGAUUUCAAUUUCUGGCUUAAAUGGUAGAAUUAAUUACUCUUAACUCUUAAUUUUACUUCUGAGUUGAGGUCAAGGAACAGGCAGACACCUGCAGUUAACGUCUAUACCUCUCCAUGGCCAAGAGUUUUAAUUUUCUCGUCUUCAAUUUUGUAGAUGUUCAUCAUUACUAAAUGGAUUGAUUAGUAUUUUAUCUCCUCUCCUUGUCCUUACUUUCCCUCUGGUAAAUAUGUUAUAAACAGUGUAAGGCUCCUAAGAUAGAGUAGCUGGUAGGACUUAGAAGAGAAACAAAGGGCACUGAUAACUCACAUAAAUGGAAAAUUGGCUCUGGAAUAACUGACAACAUAUUCAAGUAUUUUAGUGCAGUGUCACUCUCAUUAAGAAGAAGAGAAUCAGUAAAUCUAUGUGACUCUAAACAUUCUAAUGAAAAAAGGAAUAUUCUGCCAAUUAUCUCACAUUUCUAAAUAUCUGGAUAUUGGCCAUUGUAAAGACAAAACAUACAGAUGAUGGACUUGUCUUUCCACCUCUCAUUUGCAUGGUUUGGAGCAUUGUACCUCCAGCCAUAGACUCUAAGGCAAUUUAUAUUUGCUUCCUCUUCCCUCUUGAGAGAAAACGAAAAUCUUAUUUUUCCAAGCAAUUAAAACUCUUCUGCUUCAGCUAGGAUGAAAGAAUUAGGAGUUCUGUCUCCUUGUAUCUAAUUGCAUGUUUCAUCUUUCUUGUUUUAAUGAUUGACAGAAAACUAAUAAACUGAGACAUCUUUGAAUCCAGGUUGAAUGUACUCUCUUGGUGGCCCCAUUGCUAAUUUGUUUGACUAUUUUGCAGGAUUUCUUACUCUGUAAUGGAAAGGUUUAUUAAAUAUGAGGGGUGCAAAGCUUUCUGAAUACUAAUGAACUUAUUUGCCAAAAUUUAAAUGUUCUUCUUGUCAGUGAAUGUCUGUCUCUCUUAACAGGAUCCAAAUUGAAUAAUGAAGAAAAUUAGACUCUAUUGUACCCUCAGGAGAAAUCGUGGUGAAUCGUAAUAGAAUACAGAGGGGGAAAGGGGUCACAUUUUAGAAAAAAAGAGUAGAUAAUUUGGAUUAUUAAAAAAGGGAUUAACUCAGGAAAACUCUGUUCUUUUCAAAGAAACGUACUCAUAGUCAUUCAAUGAGCAGGAUUUCCCACUGCACAAGCAUCUAUACCUUUGGCCAGUGUAGAAAGAGAGUAAGGUCAUAAUCAUAUGGAGAUGCAUGCUAGGUUUCAGUAGUUACAAUUUACUAAUCUCAUUCCCAUAUAAGGCCUUUAUAUGCCUGUAAUGGAAUGGGAAAAUCAAUAAGCUUUGAAAAGGAACACUAUUCUUCAGAGAAGUUCAAUGGGAGAUAGUUGAGUUGGGGAAAUUGCCCCAGUUCUUCCUUUAAGCAUGAAAUGAGGCUGUCCCUAUGUAUGUUUACUUCCAUUGCCUUGGUGUUAUCACUGAUAAAGUCAAUGAUCAUGAUGCCUUUGCCUUGGCAGCACCUGGGGGGCACUGAAGGAACCAAGUAGCUGUACUCAUGGCCAGGAAGGCAGGCUGCCAGAACUUCAGCAGCCACACAAGUGGCCAAACAUGGUCAGGAACGAAAGUAGUGUGUGUAUGGAGUGAAAUGAAAUGAUGAGAGGAAAGUGAAGGAUGAUAUAAAGAUGGGGCUGUCCAAAGAUGGGAGUUCAUCCCUGUCCUGCACUUGAAAUAGGAAGGAAAGAACUGGAGAAGGAUUAGGUGAGGAAGGAUCCUGAAAUAGAGAAAAUAAAGGGAAGACUGCAUGCCUGCAGUGUUUGCUAAAAUUAAUUCGCCUGAGAUUUCAGGAGGAGCAAAGAAAGAUCAAGAGAAAGGGAAAACAGCCUCAAAGCCUGUGAAGGUUGAAAAACAAAAUAUAAACAAAAAAUUUUUAAAGCUAAGAUUAUGCUCUUCUAAGAAAAGAGGCUGGACACUAACAGAAAGCUUGAUGACAGCAGGAUUUGUAUUUAGCGGUUUAUUUAGAUCCCUAAGAAAAAAGGCUUAUGUGACAUAGAUUCAUAAGACACAAAUGUGUCCUUGGCUGACCAUACUAGGCUUCACUCCCAAAGGAGAAAAAGAAUGGUCGGCGCAUCUCAGAUUAACACCAACCAACUGUGCAAUAUUUCAUUUUAGAAAGCGUUUCCUUGUAUUAUCCAUGAUUAAAUAAAAAGAGACCUAGUGUAUUUGAUUGCUUCUGUGGCAAGGCUUGAGAAUUACAAACCUAGGUUUCCCUCUGGGAAUGAUCAUUGGAUUUUUAAAAUUAAGUAAGUGGAAGGAGAUUAAGAUUUAUUUCCAUCAUUUCAAAUCAUGAUCUGCACCUUUGGAAACAAAAAGGAAGUUGGAAAGUGGGAAGGUGAGGUAGGUGUGCAAGAAUGGGGAGAAAGAUGCUGCAAGCCAAAUAAGACUGUAUAAUUUCUGAGAAAAUUAAAUGAACAAUAGAGUUUGAAGGAUAAGUGGGUAAUGAGGAAUAUGAGAUAAUAAGAUAUUAAAAAAUAGCAAAUUACUUGGGAAAGUGAGGAUGAAUGAUGGUAGAUAGUUAAGGGAUUUGGGAUGGCAAGGAAGGGAAGAGAUGACUAGGGUGGGAAACAAAACAUGAUUAAUGGCUGUAAAAGGGCAAGUUUGGACUCUCGAUGGCAUAUCUUCCCAAACUUUGGAGAAUGUGCAGAACUUAGUAAUAAAGAAGGAAAAGAUUAAAAGAGUUCAUGGUUAACAUGAAAUUGUGAGGACAACAGAGGAAGCAAUAAAUGUCAUUAGUCCUCAGGAAUGAAAGCAUUUCUAGAGAAACGUACUAGUCUAUGUUCUUCAUUUAUGAGCAGAAUAGUUUUCAUCUACUUUUUAAUAAAAGGUUAAUGUAUAAAAUGAAUGCUAUUAAAGGAAAGAAAAGCUAAGCAUUAUCAGGAAAGUUGAAGAAAAGAUUGCACCUAGAACAACUGAAGUAAACCAGCAAACCUAUUUUACAGCCUUUUCUAUAAAAUUUUGAAAUUCAUCAUCUUAAUGAAAGAACUGGAAAUAGUUUUUCCAAAUAGAAAUGGGUAAUGAUAAGGGAGGAAGUUUUAACAGUUAGAAAUAUUAUAGAAUGCAUUCUUUUACAUUUUUUCCCCAUAAAAAUGAGAGGAAGCUAAAAAACUUAUGGGUAUAGCUUUAAAUACUUUGGAUAAGAAGAUUUAUAGCAAUGUAAGGUUAUUGUUAGUAGUAGAAAUAACAUUAAUUUUUUAAAAAUAUUAGUAUUUGGAGCAGGACUAAAUACCAGUGAUCAUCCUUUUUGGUUUCUUGUGUUUGUGUAGGAGAUUCCUUUCAGACAGACAGUACCAGACCUCCUUAGGAGGGAAGCUGAUAAAGUAAUUUAGGUGGAAAGGUUUAAUGAGAUAAUGAUGCUAAGGCCAGUUAACAUCUAAUAAGAACAUAAUCAUGAGGGAUGAUAUUGUUGCUUAUUAAUUAUAAUGAUGCAGAGGAAAGAGACAAGGUGGCACUCAUUUAGCAGAGAGUACUCAGGAGUAAGACCGUUAUCCCAAAGGGGAAGUGUUGCAGUCAGAGUUAGAAGUAGGUCAACAUUUAGCAGAGUUUGAAAUUUAUGGCCGUUGGGUUAUACUAGCAACCACAGAACUGAAGGCCAGGCAGGAGGUAACAGAUGCCUUUCUGAUGGUGGCCAGGGAUGGAGUGGAGACUGCUGUGGUUGCUGGGCCAUGCACGGAGGCAGACUCCAGGGUGAGUUUUGGGAGCUGUCUGCUUGCCUUAGAUUCCACAGUGGUCAUUCGUGGGCAGACAGGCAGGUGUCCAGAACUGGACUGGAUGUGCUUCCAGUUCUGUGACCUUCCCCUCCACUCCACUGGGUCGGGUGAGUCAGACCCAAGGAUAGCUAUUCAGUCAGUGUUGGCGCCCAGCUUUGUUGAGGGAGCCCAGAAGAUCCUUUGGUCCUGUUUUUAGAGGCGCAGACCUAACUGUUAUCAGUUGAAUUGCAUUUAUGAUUCCUUGGUAUUAGUCACUAACCACAUUCCGCUUCCUGAAUUCAUUGCGGGUCUGGUCACCUCCAUGUUUGCCUAGGAUGGCAGAAUUGUAGUAUAAAUUUAUUGCAGAUACACUAAUGUCCAUAUUAGUCAGGUGGGCAGGAAUAAAGAAUUCGAGGAAGAAACAGCCAUGUGAAAAAAACAUGGAGCUUUUGGAAAUCUUGUGACUCCUCAAGGGAGGCAUAGAAGCUUGAAACAGAGGACUAGCCUGGGGAAGUUAAUUUGGGGCUGGGUAAGGAAUAUAAAAACUCUACCCCUUAUUCAGCACCUUUUCCCAAUAUGGGUCUCUCUCUGAGUCCUGGAUCCUAGGCUAUUGCUGACUCCUUUCUUGGGUCUUUGGAUGCCACCUCUGCAAUGAUAGGGAGGGGUUUUCUAUACCUUCUUGUAUAGUUAAUUUUAUUAGCUGGAUGAGGAUCACUUCACAGGAUUUUUCUUGUCCUAUAUAAUGACCCCUGAAAUAGAAAGGAAAUAAUAUUCACAUCAUUAGCUUUUUAAAGCAAGUAUAUUUUAUCUUAUUAAAUGUGUGGUUUUAGAGAGGCAAGAAGUGACAAGAAGAUGCUAGACUAGAAGAUGGAAGAUUCAGCUCUAGUCCUGACUCAUGCCUAUCAGCUCUAUCACCUUGGACAAGUCUCAUGCCUUUCAGAGCCUCAGUUUCUACAUUCAUAAAAUGAGGCAUUAUUGAGGGUAAACUUUAUGAUUAAAGAGCCAUGUCCAGCUUUAAAAUUAUGUAUUUAUGCAUAUAUGUUUUUACAGAUCCUACAUCUAUUAAACUGUUAUGGGAGAAUUAAUUGAUAAACCCAUAUGAGAGCAGAUAUUUCCUUAAAUCUGUAGUUCAAAGUGGACAGUUAAGGUCAGAGUUACCAAGGAACCAAUGCCGUAACUAUUGAGUACUAACUAUGUGGCAGGUGCUUCACAGAUGAGGAAAUGAAGAUUUUCCAAAGUUUAAAUAAAUAGUUCAAGAUCAUAUAGUCAAUAAGGAGUAAAGCCAAUGCUCAAACCCAGGCAUCCCUGAAACUGAAACUCAUGACCUUCAUCACCACUGUGUGCAUCUCCCCCUUUUUUAGAACCCAAAUGCUUAUGUCCUAUCACUUAUGGCACCAGCCACCGGAAGUUUUCUUCAGUCAUUAUGGUUCUCAACUGGGAUGCGGGGAGGGAGCAAGACAAGGAGUAGUUUGAAAACUCUUCCCAGUUGAUUCUGAUACACACAUGUCUCUGCCUCUAAAUUCAGCUGCUCUCUUUAAGACAUAACUUGGCCAGAGUCAUUCUAACAUUAUUACCCGAGAGGAUCUUACUUGAGAAUUUUCUGCUAUGUGCAGGUUCAUGUUUCUGUUUUUUCCUGCAUGUCUUCAGAGCAGGUAGAGACAUUGAACACAAUUAUUCCUCUUCCAAAUGGGGAAGUGAAGCAAAGAGAAUUGAAUGAUUCAAUUUUACUCACCUACCCAGUGGUCACAGAACUGACAUCUUCCAUGCCUAAGACUAGCCGCCACAAGACAUUGUCUUUCUAGCCAAUUCAGUUAAUAAUGUAUUUUAUAUAGAAGGAAAAUUUCACUAUUGUUUUUUGUUUUGGAGUUUUCCCAGUAAAUGGAUCAUUUUAGUGACAUUAGUUUUUUUUUUUUUUUUUCCUUUGAGAUAGUCUUAGUUUGUCACCCAGGCUGGAGUGCAGUGGUGUGAUCUCCAUUCACUGCAAACUUCGCCUCCCUGGUUCAAGUGAUUCUGUUGCCUCAGCUUCCCAAAUAGCUGGGAUUACAGCUUCCUGCCACCACUCCUGGCUAAUUUUUGUAUUUUUAGUAGAGAUGGAGUUUCACCAUGUUGGCCAGACUCAAACUCCUGACCUCAAGUGAUUCGCCUACCUCGGCCUCCCAAAGUGCUGGGAUUACAGGUGUGAGCCAUCGUGCCUGGCCUCAUUUGGUCUUAAUUCACAAUUCUUUACAGUCUCAAAUGAUUUCUUUUGGUCUUUUUUUUUAAUUUUGUUUUUUUUCUUUCUUCUUGUUGAAUAAGUUCUUCAUUAUUGCUCAGUAUGGUUGCAUUGAGCUCAUUGUGAAAAAUUAGAAACAUUCAGAUACAGGAUUUAAUUAAAUAAAGACAAUAGAGUGCAGUAUUAUAUUGCCAUUUAAAAGAAUGAGGCAGCUUCAUCUAUGGAGUGGUAUCCACGAUACACAGUUAAAAUUUAAAAAGCAAAGCACAGAACAAUGUGUAUGGUGUGCUACCAUUUGUAUAAAUACAUACAUAUAUGUUUCUAUGCAUUGCCUAACUGAGGAAGGACAUUUAAGGAACUGGUAAUAGUGGUUGUCUCUGGGGAGAAACUGACUGACUCAGAAAUUGGAAGACUAUCUCUGUUGUCCCUUUUAUAUAGUGUAUCAUGUUCAUGUAUUGCCUAUUCAUUUUUUUAAUAAAGAAGAAAGUAGAGCUA